GAUGAACGCUGGCGGCGUGCCUAAUACAUGCAAGUCGAGCGAACAGACGAGGAGCUUGCUCCUCUGACGUUAGCGGCGGACGGGUGAGUAACACGUGGAUAACCUACCUAUAAGACUGGGAUAACUUCGGGAAACCGGAGCUAAUACCGGAUAAUAUAUUGAACCGCAUGGUUCAAUAGUGAAAGACGGUUUUGCUGUCGCUUAUAGAUGGAUCCGCGCCGCAUUAGCUAGUUGGUAAGGUAACGGCUUACCAAGGCAACGAUGCGUAGCCGACCUGAGAGGGUGAUCGGCCACACUGGAACUGAGACACGGUCUAGACUCCUACGGGAGGCAGCAGUAGGGAAUCUUCCGCAAUGGGCGAAAGCCUGACGGAGCAACGCCGCGUGAGUGAUGAAGGUCUUCGGAUCGUAAAACUCUGUUAUUAGGGAAGAACAAAUGUGUAAGUAACUAUGCACGUCUUGACGGUACCUAAUCAGAAAGCCACGGCUAACUACGUG
rnacentral:rRNA from 1 species